CUUGACUGUAACCUGGAAUUGGGUUCGGGCUUUGCUUGCGCAGGAUAGGUGGGAGGCGUUGAGAUAUUCCUUGUGGGGAAUGUGGAGCCAACGGUGAGAUACCACUCUGGUGAGGCUAGAAUUCUAACCCGAUGCCGUGAACCGGCUCGGGAACAGUUUCAGGCGGGCAGUUUGACUGGGGCGGUCGCCUCCUAAAAGGUGACGGAGGCGCGCAAAGGUUCUCUCAGGCUGGUUGGAAAUCAGCCGUAGAGUGUAAAGGCAUAAGAGAGCUUGACUGCGAGACAAACACGUCGAGCAGGGUGGAAACACGGCCUUAGUGAUCCGACGGCGCUGCGUGGAAGGGCCGUCGCUCAACGAAUAAAAGUUA
rnacentral:rRNA from 1 species